GCUGAGUUAGUUCAGUCGGUAGAGCAUAAGACUCUUAAUCUCAGUGUCGUGGGUUCUCAGUUGUCCUUCAGACACGGAGCCACAAUUCUGCU